CUAAGCUACUAUUACGACCAGAAUACUUGGACCGCACACCGGUUACCCUCUCUGACGUUGAGAGGGAAGAAAAAGAAACAAAUGCUCCGCAUGGCAAAAGUGCAUCAGCCUUUAUUUCUGUCCUGUAUCACGCCUAAUUGGUGUUCAUGUGAGACAGCCAAUUGUAGACUGGGCCGAGGUUCAACUGUGGGGAGAAAUAUUAGAACAGAGGAAUAAAAUCCCCAGCCUGUAUUCUUUUAACGGACUCAAAGAUCGUCCCGGUUUCAGGUUUGUGUUUGGAGACUGAACAGGUGGUGAAAUGGCUGCAGUUGGUGCCCCAUUUGUUCUGAAGAAAUUAGAGCCGAAGUCCAAGGGCCACUUGAAGCACCUUCUAACAAACACUGGGAGAACCUGUGAAGCACAAUGGGUGUUACAGAGCAGAGGAAGCUGGAGUCAAAGAAGGAAGGAUGCCCUCUUAAAAAGCAGGAAAUGAGACUCCAGGAUGCCAACUGCUCACCACCAAGGAUCAGUUCCAUCCACAUCCAUGGUUCAGAUAAGUGAUCAUGUGACACCAGCAUGCUGUGCGAGCACGCCGGAGCUGAGCAGCACCCCCCUCCCUUCCCAGUCAAACAGAAGGCAGACCUGACAGGCAUUUCAGAAGACUGCAGUUCUGCAAGUCCUAUUUCCAGCAGACCCACCACAGGCAAUCUGGAUCUUCUGCUGGCCAAGUAGUGCUCCUAGUAAAAGCCUAAAGUGGGUUACUUUGUCAGGCGUCCCUGCAGGCCCAGCGGCCACUGAAGGCUGGCACACAGUGUCCUCUUCACCACAAACACUGCAACAGGUAAUGUUUUCCUGAAGCCAUGCCAAAGUUUUAAGAAUUUCCAUGCAUCAAGGAAAAAGACGCAGACCUACACAUGAAAUACAAGCAGUCUUUUCAGCCAAGACCUGCACUAUAGAAGUGAGCAAGCAGUGUAAAGCUCUCCUGUCCUGGAACCACAGAGGCGAGAGGAUUAGAGCUCGCCACAACAUUAAACGCCACUGAACCUUG